GAGUGAUGAUGUUUUAAACCUAUUCCAUUUCUGAAACAAUAUGUGGAAAAAAAUAACUGAACUC
rnacentral:snoRNA from 1 species